rnacentral:ncRNA from 1 species
UUUUAGAAAAGGUAAACUUCUCGUAAGAGUAGGACACAAAGCUAUAGGGUCCAAGCAAUAUUUUAUCAAAGCAAAACAAGGUUGCCUGGAUAGCCAGUUGCACAA